rnacentral:rRNA from 1 species
CAGCCGCCGCGGUAAUACCGGCGGCCCGAGUAGUGGCCGCUAUUAUUGGGCCUAAAGCGUCCGUAGCCGGGCCCGUAAGUCCCUGGCGAAAUCCCACGGCUCAACCGUGGGGCUUGCUGGGGAUACUGCGGGCCUAGGGAGCGGGAGAGGCCGAGGGUAUUCCCGGAGUAGGGGUGAAAUCCUAUAAUCCCGGGAGGACCACCUGUGGCGAAGGCGCUCGGCUGGAACGCGUCCGACGGUGAGGGACGAACGCCAGGGGAGCAAACCGGAUUAGAUGCCCGGGUAGUCCUGGCUGUAAACGAUGCGGACUGUGUGUCGGACAAGCUAUGAGCUUGUCCGGUGCCGGAGGGAAACCGUUAAGUCCGCCGCCUGGGGAGUACGGCCGCAAGGCUGAAACUUAAAGGAAUUGGCGGG